ACUGCUCAGUAACACGUAGCUAACCUACCCUUGAGUCGGGGAUAACCUCGGGAAACUGAGGCUAAUACCCGAUACUGGAUUUACCCUGGAAUGGUUAAUCCAUGAAACUCGUGCUCAAGGAUGGGGCUGCGGCGGAUUAGGUUGUUGGCGGGGUAACUGCCCACCAAGCCGACGAUCCGUAAGGGCUCCUAGCGGAGAGGCCCUGAGAGGGAGUCUGAGAUACUACUCCCAGCCCUACGGGGUGCAGCAGCCGGGAAUCUUCUGCAAUACACGAAAGUGUGACAGAGCGAACCAGAGUGUUCCUCAUUGAGGAACUUUUGCCAAAUCUAAAAAGUUUGGCGAAUAAGGACUGGGCAAGACUAGUGCCAGCCGCCGCGGUAAUACUAGCUGUCCAAGUCGCAACCAUCUUUAUUGGGUCUAAAACAUCCGUAGCUUGCUUAGUAAGUUCUUUGUGAAAUCCUGUCUCUCAAGGGCAGGGCGUGCAAGGAAUACUGCUUCGCUAGAGACUGGAAGACGUAAGAAGUACGUUUGAAGUAGCGGUUAAAUGCGUUAAUCUUAGACGGACUCACAACAGCGAAGGCAUCUUACGAGGACAGAUCUGACUAGUGAGGGAUGAAGGCCUAGGGGCGCAAAACGGAUUAGAUACCCGUGUAGUCCUGGCUAGUAAACUACUGCACUACUAAACAUCUAGUACCUCUUCGUGAGGCUAUUGGUGCUUGAGGGAAGCCGAAGAGUGUGCUACCUGGGAAGUAUAGUCGCAAGACCGAAACUUAAAGGAAUUGGCGGGGGAGCAC
rnacentral:rRNA from 1 species